rnacentral:rRNA from 1 species
UACGGGGGGGGGCAAGCGUUAAUCGGAAUUACUGGGCGUAAAGCGUGCGCAGGCGGUUUUGUAAGUCUGUCGUGAAAUCCCCGGGCUCAACCUGGGAAUUGCGAUGGAGACUGCAAGGCUAGAAUCUGGCAGAGGGGGGUAGAAUUCCACGUGUAGCAGUGAAAUGCGUAGAGAUGUGGAGGAACACCGAUGGCGAAGGCAGCCCCCUGGGCUAACACUGACGCUCAUGCACGAAAGCGUGGGGAGCAAACAGG